UGACAAACCAUCCAGUACCUAUAUGUAUGUUGUCAAUUUAAAUAGCUGUGUGCUAACUCUGGGGUGAACCUGGUACCGGCUUUUUCUGAGGUGAGGUUUAUUAAUUGUCAAUUUUAUCGUCAUUUCGUUCAUUACUGUUCUAAAACACCUAGUCAUGUUAUUCCAAUCGUUUUUAUGCUUAUUUGUAACGUUUGACACCAGAAAGUCUUUCUUCGAUCGUGUCCUUAUUAGAAGGAAAGCAAGCAUCGCUUUUUGACUUGUUUCGUGUUUUUUUUUGUUGGGUUAUGCAGGGUUUCUGGUUUUUUUUUGAAAUUGUCAAUAUUCAGAGGUUUUCAUUAACUUUUCAUUAAUGACAUUUGAAAUUAUUUGUUCCCAAAAGCAAAAGUGAUGUUUAGAACAAGUAUAAUUUUGUAUAUACUUCAUGCACAAGUUCUGCAAACUGUCCAUUGAACUUUCUAGAGAUGUAUUUGAAUUUGCCUGGUAUAAAUGAGAAUUCAGAUGAAUAUAUUUUCAGACAACUGUCUUAUAGUAAAAAUUAUAAUAUUUAUACUUGUAGACUCAAACAUUUGCGUUAUAAUUUGAUUACAUCAGAAUUUUGUAACAAUCUUAACAUUUGCUGAUGUAAUCAUUAUUUAUUGGCAUUUGAAGCCAUCAGUAAAGCAAGGUUUUUUAAACUCUGACUUGGGUAUUACUUAUAUACUAGUCUUUACAUGUGUUCAACUUCAACUGUAUUGAAAUCGCAACUGAAUAAUACUAGUAGUUCAAACUCUAAACAUUUGUUUGAUUUCUUAAAGUUAUUAAUUUUCAUGCCAAAUUUAAACAAUAAUUUUAAGAAAAUUAUCAUUUCUGUAUGGGGCCCCAUAUUUUCUACAAGUGAAAAGCUGUCAAAGUGACAGCAAACCGGGUUUUCUUUUAUGUGAACUGUAUCCAUAAUCCAUGUCAACCCUGAAUUGACAAACACAACCUACCGUAUCAAGUGAAAUGGAGUACCCUAAAUAAUCAGAAGUCAAAAUCCUAGCAAUAUGCAAACCUCUGAUAUAUAUACAAUUGAUCUGCAAGAGAACGACUUCCUAUCUUGAAAGCUGUACGAGGAGUUAUCCAUACAAUGCGGGUGCCCUAUAUGCAAUAUUUUGGGAAAAAACUGUUUUAAAUUCAGAAGCUGUUAUUUUUUUUUUUUUUUUUAUAAAUUAUCAGAAAUCAAAAUCCUAGCAAUAUGCACAACUCUGAUAUAUGUACAAUUGAUCUGCAAGAGAACGACUUCCUAUCUUGAAAACUGCAGGAGGAGUUAUCCGUAGAAUAAGGGUACCCUUUUUGGCAGCCGCCCCCCGCCAUUUCAAUAACCGGAUUUUUCCGUUGGAAAACCUGGUUAUAAAAUGGCAUGAGGCAAAGGUCACAAAUAAAAUAAAUGAACAUGCUAGGUCACCAUCUUUAUAUUCAAUAUGUUUUUGGAUGAUUGACAUUACUAGUUUUUCAAGAGCCAACCGCCUUAAAAAUACGCUUUAAUUUAUCAAAACAGGACAGAAUUGUUAUAUGUAUAUACAUCAAAGGAACACUCUCUGGAUUUGAAAUGAACAUUCUUCCAAUUGAUCUGCGUGACAUUGAUAUUUAAGGCAAAUCUACUACUUUUUAACUUUUCAUGUUUAUAACUUUAAUUUUGUUAAAUUAAAGUUUGGAUUGUUUUGUUAGAACUAAUAAUAAUACUAACAUAUAUUAUACACAUUCGGAGGAAGUAUUCAAUCUGCAAAAUCUCAUGCAUUUGUUAUAAAUCAAUACUUUUCUGAUGUAUAUAUAGCAGGGCGUCAUUGGAUCUUUGUUGGGCCAACAAUGUUUCUUAUGUUGGGGCCACCGUAUGCAUUUAACAUUGGGCCAACGGGAUUUUGCUAAUCAGCCCUUAAUCGGACAAACUUGUUGGCUUAUUGAUGGACCAAUGUAACAAACAAUAGUGGGCCAUUGUUGGAGCACUGUAUUCUUUAAUACUAGGAAAACGUAACUUUUGUACGCUUGGGCCAUUGUAAGCAAUAGACAUUGGACCAAUGGCAAUUUGCUCAUCGGCCUUUAAUCGAACCAACUUGUCGGCUUAUUGUUGAGACAAUAUCGCAGAUAAUUUUGGACCAUUGAUUGGUCACUGUUUUCCUUUGAUAUAAGGCAAAAAACAACAACACAUGAGCAAGUAGAAAUGAGUUAACAUAAUUAAAUUGUAAAAUAUUUUAUUGCUCAUGCAGUUCAUGAAGAAAAAAAUUAUAGAAAUAAUCUCCCGAGUCUCCUCCUCCCUGCUUUUCUUUUCUGUCCGCUACUUCCUCCCACUCUUUUUGGCAGACAUUUCCCAUUAAUGCUGUUCUCAAUGUCUUUUGUUUAUUGAAUCAGUCAUUUGCUUGCUCUGUAUUUUUUCGGCCCAACGACACCUCGGGCCCAGGACCCAAAAAUCACAAAACAACUCAGCAGGGAAGCUAAUAUUUUCUGUUUGACAGACAUUUACUUUAAUAAAUUUGUUCUCUAUCUCCAACAGUUAUAAAGAUAUUAAAUUUGAUGAGAACAAAUUCAUGCUAUUGAUUUUUACCUUAUCAAUCAUCUUGACAUUUGAACAAUUUCCAGCAAAAGCGGAUGAUGAAAACUGACUACACUAAACACGUUUUAACUUAUGCAUCUCAACUGAUGAGGCACGUGUCAAAAAAUUUCAGUUUUUAUAUGUGGUCAUUUGCACGCUCAACAUGUAUGCGUAAUUUUGCAAUUUGUCUACAAAGCUUGGGAUCCUGGGGUGUAUUGGGAUAUAGAUGUUAGGAAAGGAGGAAUAUUGAGGUUUACCUCUUUUGGCAACAAUUUGUGAAUAGUGAAACCUGCAUAUGCUUAUAUCAUGUCACUAGGUGCUAAUUCCUCUAGAAUUUUGCAGUGCUUUACAAUAGGGGCUGUAAGCUCGCAAACGAGAGCGCGCGAGAUUUAAAUACUUCCGGUGACAAACAAACAUGGUGAUCUGCUUUGCGUUCGCAUGCAAUCAUAGAAGUUGAGCAAAUAGUUGCAAGUUCUAUCGUUUUCCGACUGACACAAAGAAAAGGACGUUAUGGGGAAAGAUAUGCAGGUCAGUAUUAAUGCAUCUAAAUGUAUUCAGCAUGUUUUGAAUGAAAUAUAUAAGCGAUCUUGACCGGAUUUCAGGACAUGACAUCUAAUCAUACAACUUAUUUCAUUAAUAAGCAAGGCGAUACCUGAGGACGAAUAGUGAGACUUUAUUUUUAAUGCGUUAUACAUCAAUUUAUAGAUUUGCGUUAGUCUGUUGAUGUAUUCACGAACCACAUGUACAUCUUACAAAAGUAUGUAGACCAUUACGUACCAAUCUGAUUAAAAUCAAACCUUCCAAUACGACCAUCAAAAUAAAGGAGCUAGUAGAAGGUUUAAAGGAGCUAGUAGAAGGUUUGAUUUUAAACAGACUGGACCAUUACAAGUGCAUGUGUCAUCACCUGCGAAGUUCAAUAAGCAUAGUGAUAUUGUCGAUGAAAAAUUAAAAUUAAUUUAGUAAAUUAUAAUACUGCUAUAUUUUUAUGCCUAAUAUAGUACAAGUAGAAUUGUUAAUACAUGUACUCGUAACAGUCUAAGUAGUCAUUAUUCAGCUGUUAUAAAGAGAAUUCAUGUUGUAAAUUGCGGAGCCCAUAGUCUAUUAUCAUGAUUAAAAUCAAUUAAACACUUGUUGAAAUAUACUGAUACACAUCAUGUCAGAUGUACAUAGUGUACUAGUAAUACUGAUGUACAUAUAAAUUUUGUCCGUCAAAUUCAAUACAUGUAUAUUGAAUUGCACCUCUAUUUCGUGUAUACAGUGAGAGAUAACAGUUGCGGUAUAUGCUGUUGCUUUGAAACUAUACAGACAACUGACUUUUCUUUAUUUAGAAGAACUGAUCGACAACCAGAAAAUCAAAAUGACAGGAUUUGUUCCUGCAAUUUCAAAGAGGGGAAAAAGGAAGGAGAUCCUGUCUACUUUGCAUGGAACGACAAAAGGUACAUGGAUUUUUCUGAUCCAGAAAAAUCAGAUAGGAAAAGGAGGAAGACGUGUCAGUCCCAGUCCUGUGAAGCUAAAACAAUAACCCAGCGUCCAUCCUGUGAGAAAGAGCAGAUACAAGAUGCUGUUGAUUGUGAAGAUGAAGAACAUAGAUUAAAAAGUUGGAAGAAGAGUUAGUUGCUCUAAAGAUCAACAGCAAUAAAAGAAAACCCAUGACUAUAGCGGAAAUUAGGGACAGCGAAGAAAAGAUGCUGCUUUACACAUCAAUACAAUAUGAUGUCUUUGAAGUGCUUGUGGGACUGCUUGGUCGCUUUGAAUUAAAUUACUUUAAUGGUUGGUCACCAUCACUAAAUAUUGAAAAUCAGCUUCUGAUUGUUUUGAUGAAGCUGAAGCUCAACCUAAGAGACAUAGACUUGGCUCACAGGUUUUGUGUAAGCAGAUCUACAAUUUCCAACAUUUUUAACACAUUGGUUCAUGCCCUCCAUGAAAUGUUGUAUGUGGGUGUUGUUGACACAUGUUUCCCCAGUCAACUUAAAUGCAAAGGCUCUAUGCCAAAGUCAUUUGCAGAGUUUUCCUCUGCAAGGUCUUCCAUGGAUGCCAGUGAGACAACCCAAGAUAUUCCUGGACACCUGGAUACACAGGCCAUGGCAUACAGUUCAUAUAAGAGCCGUCACACUGUUAAAGCAGUGCCUUGUGUCGCCCUGGCCCAAAUGGUGCCAUCACUUACUGUUCUCCUUUAUAUCUAGGAUCAACAUCAGAUGUUGCGAUUGUGCGUCACAGCAAAGUUUUUGAGAAAUUCAAACCUGGAGACCUGAUUUUAGCUGACAAGGGCUUCACAAUCCAUGAUCAAUUAACCCAAGGUGUGUGCUUGAACAUUCCAGCAUUUUUAAUCCUCAAGAGGGCAGUUUACCCAGAAAGAAGCAGAACUGUGUUACAAAAUAGCCAGAGCAAGAAUUCACGUGGAACGGGCUAAUGAGAGGAUAAAGAACUUUGAAAUACUUCGCCACAUACCAGCAACCUACAGGCCAUUAUCAACCAAGAUAUUUCAACUUUGUUCCUCCUUGGUCAACUUGCAAGCACCUCUUUUGAAAGAAAUUUCAUAGAGCAUUUACAAUUAAGAAUCCAUCUGAUUUUUUAUUUUUUCUGAAACAAAUUAUUCAUGCAACAUUGUUCACUUUUAAAGUAGAAUGGGAUGCAAGUUAACAUUUUUAUGCUAUUAUGAGACUUAAUUAGCAUUGCUGUUGAUCUAUGUUUUGUAUAUGAAAUCAAAUAAUAAAUAA